GAUGAACGCUGGCGGCGUGCCUAAUACAUGCAAGUCGAGCGAACAGAUGAGGAGCUUGCUCCUCUGACGUUAGCGGCGGACGGGUGAGUAACACGUGGAUAACCUACCUAUAAGACUGGGAUAACUUCGGGAAACCGGAGCUAAUACCGGAUAAUCUAUUGAACCGCAUGGUUCAAUAGUGAAAGACGGUUUUGCUGUCACUUAUAGAUGGAUCCGCGCCGCAUUAGAUAGUUGGGAAGGUAACGGCUUACCAAGGCAACGAUGCGUAGCCGACCUGAGAGGGUGAUCGGCCACACUGGAACGGAGACACGGUCCAGACUCCUACGGGAGGCAGCAGUAGGGAAUCUUCCGCAAUGGGCGAAAGCCUGACGGAGCAACGCCGCGUGAGUGAUGAAGGUCUUCGGAUCGUAAAACUCUGUUAUUAGGGAAGAACAAAUGUGUAAGUAACUAUGCACGUCUUGACGGUACCUAAUCAGAAAGCCACGGCUAACUACGUG
rnacentral:rRNA from 1 species